rnacentral:rRNA from 1 species
AAAGCUAUGUUCUUUAAAUUUAAAGGAUUUGGCGGUUGUUUAGUCUAGUUAGAGGAACCUGCUUAUUAAACGAUAAACCUCGCAAUAUCUUACCUACUUUAUUACAGUUUGUAUACCGUCAUUAUCAGAUUACUUUCAAAGAAAAAGUGAUUAUUGUAUGUUUAUACAUUAAAUAUUAGAUCAAGGUGCAGCUUAUAAGUAGGUUUAAGUGGGUUACAAUGAAUUUUAUUUAUUACGGAGAAUAAAUUUAAAUAUUUAUUUGAAGGAGGAUUUAAUUGUAAAUUUAAUUUAAUAAGAUAAAUUGAUAUUAGCUCUAAAUUAUGUACAAAUCGCCCGUCACUCUCUG